GAUGAACGCUGGCGGCGUGCCUAAUACAUGCAAGUAGAACGCUGAAGGAAGGAGCUUGCUCUUUCCGGAUGAGUUGCGAACGGGUGAGUAACGCGUAGGUAACCUGCCUGGUAGCGGGGGAUAACUAUUGGAAACGAUAGCUAAUACCGCAUAACAGUAGAUGUUGCAUGAUAUCUACUUAAAAGGUGCAAUUGCACCACUACCAGAUGGACCUGCGUUGUAUUAGCUAGUUGGUGAGGUAACGGCUCACCAAGGCGACGAUACAUAGCCGACCUGAGAGGGGGGACGGCCCACCUGGGAACGGGACCAGGCCCAGACCCCCUCAGGAAGCAGCCGGAGGGAAACUUCGGGAAUGGGCGGGAAGCUUAGCGAGCAAGGCCGCGGUAGGGAAGAAGGUUGUCGGGUCCGAAAGGUCGGUUGUAAGGGAAGAAACGGGUUGAGAGUGGGAAGUUCCCACUGUGACGGUAAUUUACCAAGAAGGGACGGCUAACUACGUG
rnacentral:rRNA from 1 species